rnacentral:rRNA from 1 species
UACAGAGGGUGCGAGCGUUAAUCGGAAUUACUGGGCGUAAAGCGCGCGUAGGCGGCUUUGCAAGUCGGGUGUGAAAUCCCCCAGGCUUAACCUGGGGAACUGCGUCUGAUACUGGAAGGCUUGAGGAUGGGAGAGGGAUGUAGAAUUCCAGGUGUAGCGGUGAAAUUCGUAGAUAUUAGGAAGAACACCGGUGGCGAAGGCGGCCCACUGGAUCGGUACUGACGCUGAGGUGCGAAAGCGUGGGGAGCAAACAGG